AUUGAACGCUGGCGGCAUGCCUUACACAUGCAAGUCGAACGGCAGCACGGGAGCAAUCCUGGUGGCGAGUGGCGAACGGGUGAGUAAUAUAUCGGAACGUGCCCAGUCGUGGGGGAUAACGCAGCGAAAGCUGUGCUAAUACCGCAUACGCUCUAAGGAUGAAAGCGGGGGAUCGCAAGACCUCGCGCGAUUGGAGCGGCCGAUAUCAGAUUAUCUAGUUGGUGGGGUAAAGGCCCACCAAGGCGACGAUCUGUAGCUGGUCUGAGAGGACGACCAGCCACACUGGAACUGAGACACGGUCCAGACUCCUACGGGAGGCAGCAGUGGGGAAUUUUGGACAAUGGGCGCAAGCCUGAUCCAGCAAUGCCGCGUGCAGGAUGAAGGCCUUCGGGUUGUAAACUGCUUUUGUACGGAACGAAACGGCCCUUUCUAAUACAGGGGGCUAAUGACGGUACCGUAAGAAUAAGCACCGGCUAACUACGUGCCAGCAGCCGCGGUAA
rnacentral:rRNA from 1 species